rnacentral:lncRNA from 1 species
UAGGAUAAGAUAGGGUUGUCACAGAAUCAUCCAAAUUAGAGUGUUGAUCUUUUUUCCUGGGGGGAUUCCAAUUUGAUGAGAUGCGGAAACGAGGGUUCAUUUAAAUAACUAAAUUACAGAAUUAAGUUCUAUCUUUUCUUUCGCUGGAGGAGUUUUGAUAGAGAUACAGCUUGUCAAAACCACUAAAAUCAUAACAUAAAAAUGCAUUGUGGAAUACUCGAAAGCUUCUUUUUUUUUUUAGUCCAGCAAGGUGGUAAACAUAAAAUAAAAAAGCAGAAAGAGAAAUGAAACUUUUGUUUUGAUCGAAUUUUCUAUUUUAUAUAUUUUAUUUUACUUUUACAAAAAUUUUACAAAAAAUGG